GCCUACGUGGUAUAGUGGUCAGCACGCUGAUCGCGAAUUCCAGAGGUUCGUGGUUCGAGUCCCGGCGAAGGCA
rnacentral:tRNA from 1 species